GAUGAACGCUGGCGGCGUGCCUAACACAUGCAAGUCGAACGGGAACUCCGAGAUGAAGGUUCGCUGGAAUCUUGGAAAUUCUAGUGGCGGACGGGUGAGUAACGCGUGGGUAACCUGCCCUUAAGAGGAGGAUAACAGUGAGAAAUCAUUGCUAAUACACCAUAUGCUUACGGAGUCGCAUGACUCAGUGAGGAAAGGAAUUUCGCUUAAGGAUGGACCCGCGUUUGAUUAGCCAGUUGGCAGGGUAACGGCCUACCAAAGCGACGAUCAAUAGCCGGCCUGAGAGGGUGAACGGCCACAUUGGAACUGAGACACGGUCCAAACUCC
rnacentral:rRNA from 1 species